ACUCAAAUGAAUUGACGGGACCCCGCACAAGCGGUGGAUUAUGUUGUUUAAUUCGACGCAACGCGAAGAACCUUACCAGGCCUUGACAUACUCAGCAAAACCCUAGAGAUAGGGUGGAGGUUAUCUGGGAUACAGGUGGUGCAUGGUUGUCGUCAGCUCGUGUCGUGAGAUGUUGGGUUAAGUCCCGCAACGAGCGCAACCCUUGUCUUUAGUUACCAUCAUUCAGUUGGGGACUCUAGAGAGACUGCCGGUGAUAAACCGGAGGAAGGUGGGGAUGACGUCAAAUCAUCAUGCCCCUUAUGGCCUGGGCUACAAACGUAAUACAAUGGCGUAUACAAAGGGAUGCGAAAGGGUGACCUGGAGCAAAACUCACAAAGUACGUCUCAGUUCAGAUUGGAGUCUGCAACUCGACUCCAUGAAGGCGGAAUCGCUAGUAAUCGCGGAUCAGCAUGCCGCGGUGAAUACGUUCUCGGGGUUUGUACACACCGCCCGU
rnacentral:rRNA from 1 species